rnacentral:tRNA from 1 species
GGAGAUAUAGCUUAGAAGGUCUGAGCGCAAGUCUGAAAAACUUGAGGUCGUGGAUCGUUACCACGUGUCUCCA